AUUGAACGCUGGCGGCAGGCCUAACACAUGCAAGUCGAACGGUAACAGGAAGCAGCUUGCUGCUUCGCUGACGAGUGGCGGACGGGUGAGUAAUGUCUGGGAAGCUGCCUGAUGGAAGGGGAUCACUACUGGAAACGGUAGCUAAUACCGCAUAAUGUCGCAAGACCAAAGAGGGAGACCUUCGGGCCUCUUUCCAUCGGAUGUGCCCAGGUGGGAUUCGUGUGUGGGUGGGGUUACGGCUCACAAAGGCGGCGAACCCUAGCUGGGCUGAGAGGCUGACCCGCCACGCCGGAACUGAGGCGCGGUCCAGAAUCCUACGAGUGACAGCAGUGGGGAAUAUUGACCGAUGGGAGCAAGGCUGAUGCAGGCAUGACGCGUGUAUGAAGAAGGCCUUCGGGUUGUAAAGUACUUUCAGCGGGGAGGAAGGGAGUAAAGUUAAUACCUGUGCACAUUGACGUUACCCGCAGAAGAAGCACCGGCUAACUCCGUG
rnacentral:rRNA from 1 species